rnacentral:rRNA from 1 species
CCUACGGGUGGCAGCAGUCGAGAAUCAUUCACAAUGGGGGAAACCCUGAUGGUGCGACGCCGCGUGGGGGAAUGAAGGUCUUCGGAUUGUAAACCCCUGUCAUGUGGGAGCAAAUUAAAAAGAUAGUACCACAAGAGGAAGAGACGGCUAACUCUGUGCCAGCAGCCGCGGUAAUACAGAGGUCUCAAGCGUUGUUCGGAAUCACUGGGCGUAAGGCGUGCGUAGGCUGUUUCGUAAGUCGUGUGUGAAUGGCGCGGGCUCACCCCGCGGACGGCACAUGAUACUGCGAGACUAGAGUAAUGGAGGGGGAACCGGAAUUCUCGGUGUAGCAGUGAAAUGCGUAGAUAUCGAGAGGAACACUCGGGGCGAAGGCGGGUUCCUGGACAUUAACUGACGCUGAGGCACGAAGGCCAGGGGAGCGAAAGGGAUUAGAUACCCGGGUAGUC